rnacentral:lncRNA from 1 species
GGGGCAGGGAGGCCAGCAGGGCCCGCUGGGAGGGCAGGAGCUGCUGCGGGGCUGUACAAGUCGCCGCGGACCAGGGAUUGCUGCAGCUGGGAGGUUGCAACAGCAGAACUGACCAGGCGCGAGCUCAAAAUGUCCAUCUGCAUCCUCGGCUUCAGCUGCUGCAGACCGAAAAUCGGAUCUCCUCAUCUGAUCCCUGUUCUGGGCCAAUUUUCUGACCGAUCCUGCCAUGGCGCACAUGACAGACACCCCUGUCCGGAACAGGAAUGUUGGAGUUUUCACGGGUGUAGCUGGCAGUGUGCCACUACUGGCCUUUAUUAGGGUGUCCUGCUCUGACUCUCCUACAGUCAAAAGGUCUCAUCCUCUCAAGAAGUGAAGCAUCUCUGUUGCACUUAAGAAGACGAGGCAAUAGAGCCCAAAAAUACUGAGGCAGCACCAGUGAUCUGAAUCUUGAUAUUUUAUUCUCUGGUCAAUAACUUGUUGAUCACUGCUUGAUCAUUCCUGCUACUUCAGUUGCUCUUUGUUUCAGUUUCUCUAUAUAAAGCGACAUAGCUAUGCCUUGCAGAGUAUUUUGAGAAUUAUGGGAGUUUACAACUGAGUAAGAUACAAAACAUAAUUGUAGUAAGUAUUUUUAAAAGAGUCUUUUCAUAAGCCUUUUAUCUCCAUUGCUCUAAAAAUCAUUUUUAUCAUUUAGAUUAUGGAAAUUGAAGGAAAUACUUUUUGUGUUAUGAGUGGGAUAAUUCAUAGUUAUAUAAAUUUAUAAGAUUAGCUCAUUUUCAAUGUUGUUAUGCAGGUUCUUCUGGCAAAUUAGACAGGGACAUCAGAAGCAGUAUUUAAAUUUCAUCACGGCAACUGAUUUUUCCAUGCUCUAUCAAAUAACAUAUUUGCAAAACUGCCAGAUGGGGAGAGAAACUGCAGUGAGAAAAUAAUGGUGAGGUUUGUAGUACAGGAAAAAAGGAUCAGACAUUAGAUACAUUAUUUUAACAGCAUGAGGAACUUUAAACAUUUAACAAACUUCUUAAAUAGAAGAUUUUCAUUGAUCUCUCUUCUGCAAGGAUAGCAAAAGGAGAAGGUGAAAGAAAACCAUACAGCUAAAGCUGAUGCAAAUCCUAACCAAACACAAUUAAUAAGGAGUAUAAAAAUGGUAAAUAUUUGAAUGAUAAAUCUUGUGGCAGUAUGGGAGGCAGAAGGUUACUAUGAGCUUUGCAUCAAAGAUUUCUAAUAGGGUAUAUCCUGUCUCUCCUCCUUCCAUUAUGGAUAAAAUUGGUAAAAAGCAGCAUUGAGAAAUUUGAUUCUCACAGGCUCUUAUGCAUACUACAGCAUUAAAAGCUAACAUUUAAAGACAGAAAACUUG